rnacentral:lncRNA from 1 species
AUGCAGAAAAAAAUGCACCAAUUUUAACAGAAAUGGGAAUUUUAUUAAAUAUGAUAAUCAUGAUGAAUCUUGUAAAAGAGCUGAAGAGUUUUGUAAAAUAAUGUCAAAACAUAUAAAUGAAGACAUAAAAGUAGAGAUAAAAAAAAAAGUGCAAUGAUGAAGAAAUUUUAAGAAUAAUUAGGUUAGACGCUGAAAGAACUUUUAGCACAGAAGAAAAUAGAUCUUUACUUAUAGAAGUGUUACAAUCUAUAUAUCCAGUAAUUAAUGAUUAUCAUCAAGGUUUAUCAUUUGUUGCUUCAUUUUUGUUACUUUUUUUAAAACCAAAAGAAGUUAUAACAAUAAUUACAGGAUUACAUAAAUAUUAUGUACCAGGAUAUUUUAAAGCAAUGCCUAAAGCAUAUGUACGAGACGCUAGAGUUUUUAUGAGUAUACUAAAUAUAUUUUACCCUCAUAUAUACAAACAUAUAGAAAAAUUAAUAACACCUGAAGCCUUUGUUUCCAAGUGGUUUAUAGGAUUAAAUGUUCAUGUAUUAACUUUUGAAUCUCUUAUGUUAUUUUUUGAACAUUUUUUAAAAGAAGGAACAAUUUUUUUUAUUUAAAUAUAGCAUAGCAUUAUGCAAAAAUUUAGAAAAUGAAAUUAUGAAAACUAACGAUGUUUCUAGAAUAUUAUCUUUAUUAAGAUUAGAUCAGAAGGUAUUUCCUAAUGAUUAUAAAAAGUCAAAAGAUGAUGAAGUUGGCCAUUUUUUUUUAAAUAUAAUAAAUGACGCUUGUAAAGUGGAUAUGGAAAAAAUUAAUUUAAAUGAAUUGAGACAAGAGGCCAUUAAACAGAUGGAAUUAGAAGAGGAACGAAGAAAACAAAUUGAAAUGGAAAGAGCAUUGUCGGAUGACGAAAUUGUGUUUUCCGACGAGGAAAAAAAAAAAAAAAAAAAAAAAAAAAAACCUGAAAAAACAGCUGAAAUAAAAGCUGAAAAAAAAAGUUAGUAUAUUAACUAUUUAAUAAGUUACAUAUACAUUCUGUUAUUGCUAAGUGUCAUUUUGUUUACAUGUUAAACUGGCUGUGUAUAUAUGUAUACAACACAUUUAUAUAUGCAGUCACCUAUCCAUUUACUCAUUUUUAAAUACUUAAACACCAGUUUGUUUAUUUUAUUUUUAUUUUUUAUUUUUUUAUUCUUACAUAAGGAUAAAUAUAUAAAAAU